UGUACCUACGGGGGGCAGCAGUAGGGAAUCUUCCACAAUGGGCGAAAGCCUGAUGGAGCAACGCCGCGUGAGUGAAGAAGGUUUUCGGAUCGUAAAGCUCUGUUGUAAGAGAAGAACGUGUGUGAGAGUGGAAAGUUCACACAGUGACGGUAACUUACCGGAAAGGGACGGCUAACUACGUGCCAGCAGCCGCGGUAAUACGUAGGUCCCGAGCGUUGUCCGGAUUUAUUGGGCGUAAAGCGAGCGCAGGCGGUUUGAUAAGUCUGAAGUAAAAGGCUGGGGCUUAACCAUAGUAUGCUUUGGAA
rnacentral:rRNA from 1 species